AUGGGAUGGUCCUCCAUCCUCAGGCACUCAUGAAGAAAGGGGAGAAAAGGGGACCAUGAGAAUCGGAUAGAGGCUUUCUUGUUCACCACGGGAUGGCAUCCACAGGAUCUGACUCAAAUCCUGAAGCACCCUGGAGGAUAGAUUCUCUAUUCAUCUGGAGGGCAGCGACUCCGACUCCAUUCUUGCUAAUCUCUAGCACCUGGAUUAUGUAUGGCCUUUGGACAAACCCAUGAGCUGGUUUGCAAUUCAUCCGCCGCCCUCCCGUGCUGUUCCUGCUAUCAGAUGAUGAAAACGGAGAUUGGUCUAGAAGAAAGAAAGAAGGCGCUUUCUUCCCCCUUCCUCGUCUAUUUGAGCCCCCUUUCCUCCCCCAUUACCAUGUGUUCCUCAAACCUGGGAUCCGUCCAAGUCCUAAAUGUGUUGGAAAGUGUAUCCCCCGAGCAGCUGUGAACCUGCUCGGGCCGCAGUGGCCCGGGGUGAACGAGAAACCGAGAGAUAGGGCUGCUAACAAUGCAGCCUCUGUUCUUAUAUGGAGAGCAAGAUCACAAUCAACAUCACACACACACACACACACACACACACACACACACACACACACACAGAGAGAGAGAGAGAGAGAGAGAGAGAGAGAGAGAGAUAUGCACUGACACACAGAGACACAGACACA
rnacentral:lncRNA from 1 species